UUUUGUAUCACAUAUACUAAAAUGGCGCUAGCGAUUAAGCCGGCCGGUUGCUCAGUACCGUGAGACGCUCGAGCGAAGCGUUUGCGUUUUUUUGUAAA
rnacentral:snRNA from 1 species